rnacentral:rRNA from 1 species
UGGGGAAUAUUGCACAAUGGGCGCAAGCCUGAUGCAGCCAUGCCGCGUGUAUGAAGAAGGCCUUCGGGUUGUAAAGUACUUUCAGCGAGGAGGAAGGCGGUAAGGUUAAUAACCUUAUCGAUUGACGUUACUCGCAGAAGAAGCACCGGCUAACUCCGUGCCAGCAGCCGCAGUAAUACGGAGGGUGCAAGCGUUAAUCGGAAUUACUGGGCGUAAAGCGCACGCAGGCGGUCUGUCAAGUCGGAUGUGAAAUCCCCGGGCUCAACCUGGGAACUGCAUUCGAAACUGGCAGGCUAGAGUCUUGUAGAGGGGGGUAGAAUUCCAGGUGUAGCGGUGAAAUGCGUAGAGAUCUGGAGGAAUACCGGUGGCGAAGGCGGCCCCCUGGACAAAGACUGACGCUCAGGUGCGAAAGCGUGGGGAGCAAACA